UAUGUGUAGUUGUAUAAGAUGUGUAUGCCUGGCUCCCUGUAUGCCAUCCUCUAAGCUCAUCGACCAUUGAUGACCUCCGUGAAUGGCGUAUGAGGAGCCAUGCAUAUUUUCAUAUACAUUUACAUAC
rnacentral:pre_miRNA from 1 species